rnacentral:rRNA from 1 species
CUAACCUUCGGGAAGCAGCCGACCACGGUAGGAUUCAUGACUGGGGUGAAGUCGUAACAAGGUAGCCGUAGGGGAACCUGCGGCUGGAUUACCUCCUUUCUAAGGAAG